CACCCUCUCCCCUUCCUUGCCUCUAGAGCGGUGCUAACCUAACCCCCGGCAAGACAGCCGCCGGCCGUGGAAGCGCGCGCCGCCGUACACUCUCUCUCCCCGGUCAAGACGCGCACGCCUCCUCGCCGUCCCCCGCGGAUAAGGUUCAGCUGUGGACGAUGGGCCAGAUGAAUGCUACUACAACCGAGGGCGAAGGCCACCCUGGUUCUUGGAGGGGAGUCGUUCGCAGUCAGCUCUGAGUUAGGUGCCCUGUCGGAGCAGCUGGCGGCAAUGAGGGAGAAGAGCAUGGUGAUCCUCAAGGACUACAUCACCAAGCACAACGCUCCAAAUGAUGUCCCUGAUGAAUCCAUCGAGGGCUGAUCCGAUGAGGAGGGCGAAGUGCUUGCUUAAAACACGGUGAAGAAAUCUAAGAAGCAGAAGAAGAAGCAGAAGCGAUCGUCCUAAAUCUCAUCUCAUUUAUCGUGCUCUUUCUUAGUCCCUUCUUGCAAAGAAUAGAAAACAUGCUGCUGGACACAAGAAAAGAUCAAAUUGUUGUUAGGCACUAGCUGCUUGUU